UUCUAGCCCCGAUAGGAGCGAUAUCCUUUUUUUGUAUGCGAUAGCAGAAGAAAAAGAUAUAGCGGAUAGCGGGACUAAAC
rnacentral:sRNA from 1 species